rnacentral:rRNA from 1 species
AUGCUGGAUCCACCAGAUCGCAUCCCCGGCGCUCGCUUCUCCAUGCCUCCCCACAAACGCAACAUCAUCAUCGACUGCCGCCACGGACUUGUCCUUUUCCGCCGCCAAAGGCGGUCGCAAAGCCUAUUUGUGUGGGAGCCCGUCGCCCGCGAGAAGCGCCGCCUCAGCUUCCCACCGGAGCUGGACAACAGCGAGAUGUACAUCAUCAACGGGGCGGUGCUUCGCCCUGCCCGCGGCCGUUCAAGCCAUUUCCAGGUGGCCCUGAUAGCCAAAGGCAAAGAAAAUACAAGAGUUGCCGGAUGCCUUUUCUCAUCGGAGACCGGUUUAUGGAGCAACAUCAAAACACUGCAGCUGGAUUUGUCCAAUAGGUGUACGCCACAGCCCAGUACUUUGAUUGGGAAUUCCCUUUGCUGGUUAAUUGCGGUGCAUCGUGACCAUCCUCAAUAUGCCAUACUUGAGUUUGAUCUGGAUAGGCAGAGCCUAGCCGUGACAGAGCUGCCACCACACUUAGAAGCAGGCUAUGACCAAUUAAGGAUUAUUACACCGGGCGAAGAUGGUGGCCUUGGCUUCAUCCAUCUCUCACAUUUUCGCGCGCAGAUAUGGAAGAGAAAGCCUGAUUGUGAUGGUUUGGCUGUAUGGGUGAUCGACAGAGCUAUUGAAUUCAAGGAACUUAGAUCAAAUUGCAAGGGCUACUCCCUCACUUUAGUUGGGUUUGCCGAGGAGAGUAAUGCAAUCCUUGUACUUCCAGCUUCUGGCGUCUUCAUGGUAUAUCUCCAGUCAAUGGAGUUUAAGAAACUUUCCAAAUUGUGGGUCUGCUGUCUCUAUUAUCCAUUUGCAUCUUUCUAUCCUGCAGCCACCGGUGCCGGCCAUGGUGACGGUGGCAGGUGA